UACGUAGGGUGCGAGCGUUAAUCGGAAUUACUGGGCGUAAAGCGUGCGCAGGCGGUUUUGUAAGCCAGAUGUGAAAUCCCCGGGCUUAACCUGGGAAUGGCAUUUGGGACUGCAAGGCUUGAGUUUGGCAGAGGAGACUGGAAUUCCUGGUGUAGCAGUGAAAUGCGCAGAUAUCAGGAGGAACACCGGUGGCGAAGGCGGGUCUCUGGGCAGUAACUGACGCUGAGGAGCGAAAGCGUGGGGAGCGAACAGG
rnacentral:rRNA from 1 species